GACGAACGCUGGCGGCGUGCUUAACACAUGCAAGUCGAACGGAAAGGCCCUGCUUUUGUGGGGUGCUCGAGUGGCGAACGGGUGAGUAACACGUGAGUAACCUGCCCUUGACUUUGGGAUAACUUCAGGAAACUGGGGCUAAUACCGGAUAGGAGCUCCUGCUGCAUGGUGGGGGUUGGAAAGUUUCGGCGGUUGGGGAUGGACUCGCGGCUUAUCAGCUUGUUGGUGGGGUAGUGGCUUACCAAGGCUUUGACGGGUAGCCGGCCUGAGAGGGUGACCGGCCACAUUGGGACUGGGAUACGGCCCAGACUCCUACGGGAGGCAGCAGUGGGGAAUAUUGCACAAUGGGCGGAAGCCUGAUGCAGCAACGCCGCGUGCGGGAUGACGGCCUUCGGGUUGUAACCCGCUUUCGCCUGUGACGAAGCGUGAGUGACGGUAAUGGGUAAAGAAGCACCGGCUAACUACGU
rnacentral:rRNA from 1 species